ACUGGGACACAUUGAUGGACUGAAGAGGAUUCAAGCACAGAUAAUGAGGGCUGUACAGCAGGAUUUAUGAAGAAAACUUAAGCAUCAAAUGUGCACAGUUUGUCUCUGUGACAGCCUGACAUGAGAGCAGUGUAAAUACAGAUGAAAAGGAAGAGGUGUCAUUUAACAUAAUAGAAGGAUGUUGUGAGCAAGGGCUUUCCUUGGUCCUUACUUCAAGUGAUUGCUUGGAGAUUGAAGAACACCUAAAAUGCAUGCUUACUGCCUAUACACAGCUUGAUUACAAACCCAAAACAAGCAGGAUUUAGGACUGAGAAGUGUGAGAAAUUGUGUGACUCCUUACUUUAAAUCAAGAAGGCAAUCAUCUGUCAAGGCAAUCUAUUUUCCCUGGUUUAUCUUCUAAGAAGAAAUGUAUGGCUGAUAAAUUUAUAGAAGUUAACAUAAGUAGAUUAAUCUCUACGUUAUCCUGAAGGUUGCUCAACUGGGGAGAGGAGCUACGUUUGAUCAGUACAAGAACUUGGAAUCCAUAUAUGCUACAAAAGAAGCAGCAACUUCUAUCCUGUCAACUGGUUUUAAGCAUGGUGGAAAUCGUGAUGAAUGUCUGACCUGUGAUAGCCAGUCAUUCACUGACAUAUCUCUCCGUGAUGCUUACAGUGUUGCAUGA